UACAGAGGGGGCAAGCGUUAUUCGGAAUUAUUGGGCGUAAAGGGCGCGUAGGCGGCCUGGCAAGUGGAAGGUGAAAUCCCUCGGCUUAACCGAGGAACUGCCCUCCAAACUGCUUGGCUUGAGUCCGGGAGAGGUGAGUGGAAUUCCCAGUGUAGCGGUGAAAUGCGUAGAUAUUGUGAGGAACACCAGUGGCGAAGGCGGCUCACUGGACCGGAACUGACGCUGAGGCGCGAAAGCGUGGGGAGCAAACGGG
rnacentral:rRNA from 1 species